GACAAGGCUCAACCACAACAGUAGGGUCAGAGGACUUUUCAAGUUUAUUCCAGGCAGUAAAGGAAAUGAAGAGAAAGGUGGUGCUGAGGGCGUGUGAAGGCCAAUUAGAGUAAGAGAGGAAGGGUAUAAAAGAGCGUUGAGAGAGGAUAUUGGGUAUUCAGUUUUGUAAUCCUAAUUUGGUGGGCGGGGUUUCUCUUCAUAGGGAAUUUUCCCUAGGAACUGAGGGUUAGUUAUUGGUGUGGGUAUUGUAUUGUUUGGUUGUAUCCACAUUU
rnacentral:misc_RNA from 1 species